GAUGAACGCUAGCGGCAGGCUUAAUACAUGCAAGUCGUGGGGCAGCAUGAGUGUAGCAAUACAUUUGAUGGCGACCGGCAAACGGGUGCGGAACACGUACACAACCUUCCUUUAAGUGGGGAAUAGCCCAGAGAAAUUUGGAUUAAUACCCCGUAACAUAUAGAAGUGGCAUCACUUUUAUAUUAUAGCAGCAAUGCGCUUGAAGAUGGGUGUGCGGCUGAUUAGAUAGUUGGCGGGGUAACGGCCCACCAAGUCGACGAUCAGUAACUGGUGUGAGAGCACGACCAGUCACACGGGCACUGAGACACGGGCCCGACUCCUACGGGAGGCAGCAGUAAGGAAUAUUGGUCAAUGGACGCAAGUCUGAACCAGCCAUGCCGCGUGGAGGAUGAAGGUCCUCUGGAUUGUAAACUUCUUUUAUUUGGGAAGAAAUCUAUCUUUUCUUGGAUAGUUGACGGUACCAGAUGAAUAAGCACCGGCUAACUCCGUGCCAGCCGCCGCGGUAAAAC
rnacentral:rRNA from 1 species